rnacentral:misc_RNA from 1 species
GCUGCCAUGUGUUCCCAGCGAGAUCCUCAACCUUCCUGGUAGCUUCUCCCAUCUUUCUUCCCCAUAUUCCUAGCACAUCCCGCACGGUUCCCAUCGUAUCUUUGAAGGAAAAGGAAGAGGAGGACUGUGCAGGAGAUGAAGAAACGUAGGGAUUGGAUCCGUCAAAGUAAACAUGGUCAUUGCUAUUGUUGUUACGAGAAGCAUGAGAUUCGCUCACCAAUUCAGGGCUCCAGUGGACCGAUUUCCUCACGGAGCCUGUAAGGCUAGGAGCUUGCAACUGAUCACCCCCACUCUGAACCAGAGUCUCAUAAUCCGAUCCCGUCGCGACGCUGCCCUCAUUCGUGUCUCCAUUUGGUGCAUGACGAAGAUGAUUAUCUCCGGUAUUCGUAUUGGGUACGGAUUUCGGCUUCGGAUCCUCCUGGCCCCUGGAAAAUCCGUGUCCGCCUUGGACUGUUGCUCCAUGUUUCUAGAAGAUUCGAAGAGUGCGGUGGCGCGUGGAGAGUAAGUGAGCUUCUAUAAUGGGAUUUUGUUUACUC